GCGGCGGUAGCUCAAUUGGCAGAGCACCUGGUUGUGAUCCAGGAGGUUGUAGGGUUCGAUUCCCACCCGUCGCCCCA
rnacentral:tRNA from 1 species